rnacentral:rRNA from 1 species
AUAUGAAGGCGGGCUGGAAUCUCUCGGGGUUACAGCCUUGCUGAAUUAUUCACCCUUGUCUUUUGCGUACUUCUUGUUUCCUUGGUGGGUUCGCCCACCACUAGGACAAACAUAAACCUUUUGUAAUUGCAAUCAGCGUCAGUAACAAAUUAAUAAUUACAACUUUCAACAACGGAUCUCUUGGUUCUGGCAUCGAUGAAGAACGCAGCGAAAUGCGAUAAGUAGUGUGAAUUGCAGAAUUCAGUGAAUCAUCGAAUCUUUGAACGCACAUUGCGCCCUUUGGUAUUCCAAAGGGCAUGCCUGUUCGAGCGUCAUUUGUACCCUCAAGCUUUGCUUGGUGUUGGGCGUCUUGUCUCUAGCUUUGCUGGAGACUCGCCUUAAAGUAAUUGGCAGCCGGCCUACUGGUUUCGGAGCGCAGCACAAGUCGCACUCUCUAUCAGCAAAGGUCUAGCAUCCAUUAAGCCUUUUUUCAACUUUUGACCUCGGAUCAGGUAGGGAUACCCGCUGAACUUAAGCAUAUCAAUAAGCGGAGGA